CCUCUCCGUCAGCCCCUCCGUCAGCUCUCGUCGCCGCGCGCCCACGGACGCACUGUGGCCGACCGAGCUUUAAUGGCGUUCGACUCCUUCUCCUCUUGUCUUCGAGCUCGCCCUCGUCUCCGUGAUACCUGCAUCAAUAGCUCGUCGCCUUCCCCGAGCCCAUGCAUGAGCACACGCGUCCGCGGCGCCGGCCGCGUGUCCACGGCGACGCCAGCUCGGCCAUGCCCUCGCCCGGCUAUAUAUAGCCCUCCCCCGAAGUGUUCGAGCACACCAGCGGCCUCCGCACACUCCACUAGCCCUCUCCAGCCCCUCGCCCGAGCCUCUGGAGCUCUCCUCGCUCGCCAUUCCCGCCAUGGCCAUCGCUCCCCUCGGCCUAAAUUGGCUCAAGCCCGAGCCUCUCCCCUCUCCCUUUCUCCACCACUAGAAGCCCCUCACACCGGAGAUCCUCCCCACCCCUUUUCUUCUCGCCGGAGCCCUUGUGGCCGUACUUUUCCAAGUCCGGCCGCCGCCCCUUGCUCCCUGCCGCCCCGAGCCGCGGCUGCUCUGCACUUCCCCCGACGCUCGUAGACCUCUGGUUGGGUGCGGUUUCGCACCCGCACCCGCCCGUGGCCGGAGCUCGGCCGGAGAGUGCCGGAGCCGCCCGGACCGUCGCCGGCGUCCCCCUGCCUCUGGUCCUCUGCUUCCGAUCGGGGCGCAGCGAGGAGGAGGAAGAAGACAAGAUCCAGGCGGGCCCCCCUCCUUCACUGACACCACCUGGCAGCCACUCAGGCUGGCCCCGCAUUGACCGGCCCGGUCCAGCUGGAUAAGUGACGGGCCCCACAGCCCGUGGGACCCGCACGUCAGCCGCUCAAGCCCCUGUCCCGCCUCUGCCACGUGUUUAAGUGGAGGCGUAAACACUCCAGUACGUUUUCGCUUAUAGAAAACGUAGUUUCCCUUUGAAAAGUCCCUGAACUUCAACCCUUCAUAUCUUUUUAACCACAACUCCAAAUGAGCCCCUCCGAGAGAGAACGGUUUCCGGCAAAUCUUUCAGUGGCUUCACCGCACUUCUCCCCGGUGCCUUCUUCAUCCCCAGGCAAGCCACAAUACCCACUUGCAUGAUAGUCAUGCAGUAGCCAUGGUUUUCAACUUGAAUAUUUAUUAAAUGAUUGCUUGUUUAAAAUAUGGUUAUCGUUGUUUCGGAAAUUCUUCUGGGUUUGUGCUUACUUGUUUGCUAUGUUGUUAUGCACCUAGUUAUCAUGCCCUGCUAGUUGCUAGUAUUACUUUCAUAUUGCCAUGCUUGAUAGUAGUACAUGUUGGGUUGGUCAUGCUCUUAGGUGGUGCAUGACUAACGUCGGUUACUGAGUACUGUUAAUAGGCAUUGUUCCGUUGCUGUUAGUUAGUUAAGUGUUACUCGGUGAUGUUAUUGAUAAAUUCUUGCAUGUCAUUUAUGGAUGAUGCUAGUGGUCAUGACAUGUUAUACUAUGAGUAGUGUUUCACUUGUAAUAUUUAUGCUCGUCAUUAUGCCAUGUUCAGUUGGAGAUUAUUUCAUAGUCGAUAUGAUGGACAGUUAUGUUGCAUCCCGUGCUUAUGGUGAUAUCAUGUUCUUGCAUUGUAAUUGCAUCAUGUUAUUUUAUGAUGGCUCAACAUUUUGCA